ensembl:lncRNA
GUCAAAGGCUUUGGCAUAUUCAAUAAAGCAGAAGUAGAUGUUUUUCUGAAACUCUCUUGCUUUUUUGAUGAUCCAGCAGAUGUUGGCAAGUUGAUCUCUGGUUCCUCUGCCUUUUCUAAAUCCAACUUAUACAUCUGGAAGUUCACGCUUCACGUGCUGUUGAAACCCGGCUUGGAGAAUUUUGAGAAUUACUUUGCUAGCAUGUGAGAUCAGUGCAACUGCGUGGCAGUUUGAGUAUUCUUUGGUAUUGCCUUUCAUUGGGAUUGGAAUGAAAACUGACCUUUUCCAGUCCUGUGGCCACUGCUGAGUUUUCCAAAUUUGCUGGCAUAUUGAGUGCAGCACUUUCACAGCUUCAUCUUUUAGGAUUUGAACGAGCUCUACUGGAAUUCUAUCACCUUCACUAGCUUUGUUUGUAGUGAUGCUUCCUAAGGCCCAUUUGACUUCACAUUCCAGGAUGUCUGGCUCUAGGAAUUUUUGUUUGCUUCUUGGUUUGUUUUAUUUUCCCAGAGGUCAGGAUUCAAGAAUCAGAAAGUGUCCUCCCCAGGACCUCUCAGUGAAGCACAGAGGCGAUUUCAGGAGACACUGCCUUGCUCACAUCCAAGGCUCCAACUACAACAACAACCACUACUCCAACAACGACCACCACUACUACUACUCAAAGAAAAACGACCAUGACUACUACACCUCCAAGAGAAACAACCGAGGCUAUUACUCCAACAACGACCGAAACUAAUCAGACAAAAUCUACUGCUUCAACAACCACCAUCACCACACUCCAAUGACAACCACCGCUGUUCCAAAAAUGACCACCACUACUACUCCAGUAACAACUGCCACCACUACUUCAACAAUCACGAUGAUCACCACUGUUCCAAUGACAACGAAGGCUUCUACCUCUGCUCUUCCAAUGGCAACACCCACAGAGGACUUCCAGCCAGGUAAACAGAUGUGCUUCUGAUGCUAGAAGGCUUUAAAGGAGAGGAUAUUGACUAUGCAGAGCACUGUGUUAAGUCAGAUGUACAAUCUAAGGUAAGGAUUCUUAACAGGCUUCCAAAGCUGGCUCUACAGAGUCUGUGAAUCCCCUGUCCCCUGUUAUAUUCACCUUUUAUAUCUAUAAGCAUUUACAGAGUGAAGGAGACCUAAGGCUUUUUAUCAGACUCUCAAGAAAUUCAUUAAUACAAAAAAAAACAAAACAAAACAAAAACCCAGAUCACUGAUCUUGGACAUCUAAGGAGAAUGGCUCAUUUUAACACAGAAUUAUGACGGAAAAAUAAGGAUGCCAGAACAGGGCCUGGUGAAUGAGAUUCUGCCCUUUCAAGGAGCUCAGAAUAGAGAUAAUUUAAUCCAUUCUAAAGCCUAACCCAACACAUGAGGAUAAGAUUUCAGUGAAGUUAAUGCUUACUCUGUUUUCUGUGUCAGGAAACAUGCUAACUGCUUUACAACUAUUAGGCCACUUAAUUUUUAUGACAACCCUACCCAUUGUCAUUGUCCCUGGUGGCUCAGACGGUAAAGCGUCUGCCUGCAAUGUGGGAGACCUGGGUUCGAUUCCUGGGUUGGGAAGAUCCCCUGGAGAAGGAAAGGGCAACCCACUCCAGCAGUCUUGCCUGGAAAAUCCCAUGGACAGAGGAGCCUGAUAGGCUAUGGUCCAUGGGGUCAGGAAGAGUCGGACAUGACUGAGCAACUUCACUUCACUCACCUAUUGUCAGUGUGAUUCAAUCCUACCUUAUAUCCCUGAGGACUGAGGCACAGAGUCUGAGUUCAUUGUUGUUUCUGUUCAUUCAUAUGAAUAGAAAAUGGUUGGGUCUAGAUAGUGGGUCUAGCUAGUUUGGUCUAGCAUUAAUUUGAAUGCUGGCCUUUGCUGCAUUCUAUACUGAACAUAGAGUUUAUGUUUGGAUGAGUUUGUUCUGAUCUGACAUCCUCACUGGAAAAGCUUUCAUACAAUUACCCUGCUUUUUCGGGGUGUCAGUGACUUACACAUUUUGCUUCUAACCUCCUUUGUUCAUGUAUCAGAGGAAUGUCAUUUAUACUGAUGACAAAGUAAACAUCAGAUUUAAGUAUUAUGCAAUUUAGAAUGCAUACACUUGUUUUUUUAAAUUCAGACUACAGUGUUCAUACUUCAAAUUUCUGUUAGAUCAUAGUUUAGGUUUAAUAUAAAUGGAGAAUAUUUUUGAAUUAUAGAUGUGGAAAUAACUCAUUUUGAGGACAUGUUUGGGUUCAAACUUUCUCUUUUUAGGAUUAAAAAGAUAAUUUUUAUGUGGAGAUUCUCAAAGCCUCCACAACCCUUUGGCACUUUGAAGUGGCUCUAGAACUGAAAAGUAACAGAAAUAUCACAAACUCUUAGCCAAAAUGUCUGUGGGAACACAUUGAUUGAUUUCCCAUCACCCCUGUUGAUCCAUGUGUGUAUUCAGUGAGGAGGGAUCUGAAGGAUUUUCUUCAAGUUGAAUUUGGAAGGAGGUCUUUAGGUUGAAAGUGGGAUUUUUACAGCCAUAAAAGUUUGCAAGAAAAAUACACUAGAGCAUCUGUUGACUUUUUCAAUAUUGAUUUAGCUUAAUAGUUUGUGACUGCUGAGGUGGAUGGAUUAGAGUUCCUGUUUUGAGGGACAUGUGUACGUUAUGGCCUUUGUUUAAAGCAGAAGUUCAGAAGGAAGGUGUUGGUGCAUAUGUUCGUGUGACCUCCUAGAGGCAGUAUUAGUUGAGUCUUAUACAUGUCCUGAUAGUCUCCUAGUGAGUUUGAGUUCAGAGUUGAACUUUACAGUAUGGAAAGGAUGUUAGCACUGGAACAGAUCUAUAGCAGGGGCAUUUGUAUUUACAUUCAUUCCCUCUCUGUGCUCUGUGCCCUUGUCCAUGCUAGUUGCCUAGAAUAUUCCUGAACUGGUUGGAAGUAAAGUCCUAGGAGAACAGGAGAACAGAAAAAAUGCCCACAAAGACCAAAACUACAGAAAGAAGUUAAGAUCAACAGGUCUUCUGCACAGAUAUAAGUUGAAUGAAGACUGUGAUCAUUUGAUUUUGUUUUAUUGUCCUGUUCUUAAUUCCUAAAGAGAGCCAUAUCCUGCUACAAAUUUGAGCAUUAGGCAAAAGCAAAGCCAAAAAAAAAAAAAAAAAAGAAGAAGAAGAAGAAGAGAAAAGAAAUACACCACCAACAAGAAUGACCAAAAAACUCCCAUAAAAACAAAAACAAAAGAUAGCUCAGAACAAGAGAACAGGUAAUGUUGAAAUGUGAAGUCCAUGGUGAGAAAGUGGAAAGAAGACCAAUGAGAGGCAAUGGGGAAAGCCUAGGUUUGAGAACUCUUGUUCAGCCAGCACCGCUGCCUUGCUCUAAAAUUCUGUGAUGCUCUCAGAGGAAGGGAUAUAAAAAUCUUAUUACGAGGCAACUGGUCAACUCUGCAGGUCAGGUGAGAUGUUUGAUAGAAAAUAAAGGAGAGAUAUCAAGCAAAGGAAAAAGGAAACAUAGCCCUGAGAAUUCUGAGUAAACUUUCUGGUGAGAAAUAGAUGAGUCAGAUAACAUAUGAAAUCAGUCUUAUGAAAGGAGUGAUCAGAACACAACUGCAGAAGGAGCCAGGGUACCAGGAACAUUGCUUUGAGGUUUAUUACCAAGACUCAGACAAUGGAUUGUACCAUCUCCUUAAAGUGACUUCAAGAAAUUGAAUAAUCUCAGUAUGUUUUCUGUGCUGGAAAAUGUGUACAUCUCCCUGGAAAGAUGUAGAUGGAUAAUUAGGAACUUGAAUAUGGUCAGGAAAUCAAGAUCGGGGUUCUUGUGAACAAGGUGGGUUAGUGCCAGCCCCAAGGCCAUGCUCCAUAGAAUUGAAAUGUCAUUGGUAUGAUAAAAGUUUGAUAUGAAUAAACACUUAACUGAGUGCCCUAUAUAAGAUGCUCUAUUGAUAGGUUUUAAGAGGAUACUAAGAGUAUAAAAGGAGAAAUGAUUCUGUCUAUUGAUAAGCUCUUCAGAUCAUUAUCUAGGUAAUAUUUAUUCAUGGUAAUGAAACACAUAUAUGGCAGAGUAAUGUCUCAAGGCCAUCCUUUAAUAUUUUUCUAAGAAAGAGUCAAAGGGUAAUUCCUAAUUUUAGUUUUGUUUGCCAUUUUUUUGCUGGAGUUGGAAAUUUUCCUCCACAAAUUGAAUAACAUUCUUCCAUUCUUAUCAUUUCAGUACCUUCUUUAUCUUCUCCAACGCAGGCUGCAGAAACCAAGCCUACCACCCCAUAUGAAACAAAUAAAACUUGCUCACCAUCGUACUCUUGCUCAAAAUGUAACUUUGUUUUCUUUCCUGAAAGCCUGGGAGCUUUCAAAUUUUGAUAAAUAGCACACUGUUAAGAGCACAUAUGCUGUAAUAACACAGGUCUGACUUGAGUACCUACAAAGGCUACUCCAAUUAGCUAUACAACUUGAACAAAUGUCUUACCCUUUUUGAAUCUGUGUUUAUCCUUUGUAAAAUGGAUGGAAUUUUACUGAUGUAGAAUUCUUUCAAGGAUUAAAUUAGAUAAAGAUUGGAACAUAGUCAAAUGGUAGUGAUAUAUAGAGUGGCAACUAUGACUGUCACUUAGCCUGUCCAGAUAUGCACACCUGAGCAACAUAGCUAGCUUGUAAGAUUUGGGAACAUCCACACGUGUAUCUGCAUUUCUCUAAAUUAAAUGAACCAGCCUUUUCUUUAAACUUAUUAGUAGGUUUAGUCCCUUGGACAGAGCCUUUAAAAGCUUAAAUCCAAAUUAACCUGGUCCAGACCAGACUAGUCACUUGUUUAUGUUUUGCCUAAGCUCCAGAAACUACACAGAGCCACAAGACCCUCCCGCUGCCUUGUUAAGCUUUCAUUUCACAUGGACGCUUUGAGAUGGGUUGAGAAAAUGGACAAGAGAACCAAAGAGGCAUGCCCUACUAGGACUGGGCUAUUCUAUCAGAAAAGUCUCCCUGCUCUCCCCAAUUUUGGAAAGUCCAUAUUCUUUUCAGAUGUAAGAUUUGUCUUGCCUUCCCUGUGAUGGUGAAAGGUGAUGCUGAAUCCUGUCAUCUUCCCCAGCUAAUUUGCUGCCUGUGGUGGUAAAUUUGGGGGUGUGGCACAUGCUGAACUCCUUUGCAAUGCAGAGCUGGCUUAUGUGUCCUUGUGCCUGUGAAGCAUUCAAACAAGGUCAGGCUUUUCAAGACUCCUGGUGCAUAUGAGUCAUCAUGUUCAGGAGCUGCCAAUCUGUAGCAGACCCGCAGUAUGGCCUACCUUUUGCCAGUCAUCCCUGGAAGCUGGUUAAUAGAAAAUGGACCAGCAGUAGGAUGCACAAAGGGACCAAUUCAACUGGGAAUCAAUCUCUAAAAUAUGUCAUUAAAACCUGGUCAAGGUAGAGAUUUUCAGAAUGGAACAGACAUUGGAAUAGCUGUGUCCCCACAACUUCUGUGACUGCUGCCUCUUGGCAGUGUCUCUGAGGUUCUCCAGCCAAAUCCUCACAAUGCCCAAGUCAGACUUCAAUGGGUUAAAGCCUCACAAAACAAAGAAUUUUAGUGUGGAAGGAAUUUUGGUCAUCAUAUGGCCUGCCACCCACCUUUGGACAGACAGAUGUACCAGCAAACCGUCAGUUGUUGUGGUUGUUCAUUAGCCACGUCAUGUCUGAUUCUUUGUGGCCCCAUAGUCUGCAACAUGCCAGGCUUCCCUGUCCUUCAGUAUCUCCUGGAGUUUGCUCAAAUUCAUGUUCAUUGAGUUAGUGAUGCCAUCCAACCAUCUCAUCCUUUAUCACCCCCUUUUCCUUUUGCCUUCAGUCUUUACCAGCAUCAGGGUCUUUUCCAGGGAGCUGGCUCUUCACAUCAGAUGGCCAAAGUAUUUGAGCUUCAGUCCUUCCAAUGAAUAGUCAAGAUUGAUUUCCUUUAGGAUUGUCUGGUUUGACCUCCUUGUAAUCCAAGGGACUCUCAAGAGUCUUCUCCAGCACCACAGUUCAAAAGCAUCAAUUCUUAAGUGCUAGUCUUUAUGGUCCAAUUGUCACAUGCAUACAUGACUACUGAAAAAAAACCAGAGCUUUGACUCUACUCACCUUUGUCAGCAAAGAGAUGUUCUGCUUUUUAAUAUGCUGUCUAGGUUGGUCAUAGCUUUUCUUCCAAGGAGCAAAUAUCUUUAAUCUCAUGGCUUCAGUCACCAUCCACAGUGAUUAUGGAGCCCAAGAAAAUAAAAUCUGUCAUUGCUUCCCUUUUUUUCCCCUUCUAUUUGCCAUGAGGUAAUGGAACUGUAUGCCAUGAGCUUAGUUUUCAAGUGUUGAAUCUCCUCCUUCCCCAUUUUCACGAGGCCCUUUAGUUCCUUUUCACUUUCUGGCAUUAGAGUGGUAUCAUCUACAUAUCCGAGGUUGUUGCAUUUCCCCUGGCAAUCUUGAUUCCAACUUGUGAUUCAUCCAGUCUGGCAGUUUACAUGAUUUACUCUGCACACAAGUUAAAUAAGCAGGAUGACAAUAAGUAGCUUUGUCAUACUCCUUCCCCAAUUUUGAACCAGUCAGUUGUUCAAUGUUCAGUUCUAACUGUUGCUUCUUGACCAGCAUACAUAUUUUUCAGGAGACAGAUAAGGUAGUCUAGUACUCCUGUCUCUUUAAGAAUUUUCCACAGUUUGUUGUGAUCUACACAAUCAAAGAAGUCAAGAAGAACAAACCAAUCAAUCCUAAAGGAAAUCAACCCUGAAUAUUCAUUGGAAGGACUGAUGCUAAAGCUGAAGCUCAAUACUUUUGCCACCUAAUGUGAAAAGCUGACUCAUUGGAAAGGACCCUGAUGCUGGGAAAGACUGAGGGCAAGAUGAGAAGGAGACAACAGAGGGUGAGAUGGUUGGAUGACAUCACUGACUUAAUGGACAAGAGUUUGAGCAAACUCUGGGAGAUAGUGAAGGACAGGGAAGCCUGACAUGCUGUAGUCCAUGGGGUCACAAAGAGUCAGAUAUGACUUAGUGACUGAACAAUAACAACAUAAUCAAAGGCUUAGCAUAGUCAAUGAAGCAGAAAUAGAUGUUUUUCUGGAAUUCUUUUGUUUUCUCCAUGAUCUUCCUAAUGUUGGCAAUUUGAUCUCUGGUUCCUCUGCCUUUUCUAAACCUAGCUUGGACAUCUGGAAGUUCUCAGUUCAUGUGCUGCUGAAGCCUAGCUUAAGGAUUUUUAGCAUAACCUGUUAGCAUGUGAAAGGGUUAUCCAAGUCAUUAAGACCUUUUCGUAUCAUUCUUCUUUUGUAUCAUUCAUCAUUCUUGCCAACGCUUUUAAAUCUCUUCUGCUUCUGUCAGGUCCUUACCAUUUCUGUCCUUCAUCAUGCCCAUUCUUGAAUGAAAUGGAGAAAGGGAAGAUAUACACAACUGAAAGGGAAAGAUAUAUCCAACUGAAUGUAGAGUUCCAGAGAAUAGCAAGGAGAGAUAAGAAGGCCUUCUUAAACGAACAAUGCAAAGAAAACUGUCAUACAUUAUCUCAUUUAAUUCUUUCAGGGCAGGUUUAUUUCUUGCCAUUGCCAGACUAAGGAGCCUGUUUAGUUCUGUUUUGGAGACAGACAGUCUUCAGUUCAACUGCCAGUUACUAGCUGUGCACCCAUAGGCAAAAUGUUGCAUUCCUCACUUCAAGGUUGUGAGGAAUGAAAACUAAGAUGUUCGAAAAGUCUAUUGCAUGGUGUCUCUCCCCACAUUGUUCCUAUUGUUAUAUAAUAACAUAAUAGUAAUGGCUGAUAUUUGUUUAACAUGGUGUUAAGCACCUUAUAUGCAUCAUCUAAUAUGACUGCUUUAUGAGAUGGGUGCUAUCAACAGCCUGGAGUUCUAACUCUUACCCUAGCUAGAAACAUAAAUAUACACAUUUAUGUGCAUGCAUACAUAAAUGUGUAUGCAAAAGGACCUCGAUCAAGGUCACAUUUUGAGGGACAUUGUCAACACUGAAGUCAAGCUUUAUCUUACUCAAGUCCAUGCUGCUUUUACAAAAUCGCCCAUUCUAUACCUGAAACACUUACCUAAGGUUAUAAUACAAGUCAUGCACAAAGCCUAGACUGUAGAUAUUGUCUUUGGCUCUCCAAGAAGUACUGUCAGAAUAAUUAAAACGUAAACACAGUAAUGUAAAGUGUAAAACUUUAGAGGGGAUAUGGUGGAUUCAUUUUCACUGCCAUUGCAAAAUGACAUGACAAAAGUUUUGUCAGUAGUUGAGGAUUUUCUAAGACCUUCAGUAUUUUCAUUGGAUGAGAAUGUAACUUGUGUAGUGGUUAUGAACUGAAGCUCUUGCCCCAUUCUAUAGCUGGAAACUUCAACCAUUUCAGGACUACUUCCUCAGGUAUAAAAUAGGAUUAAGAAAAUUGGUAUAAGAAUAUAAAGGUCUUGGUCUAUAACAGAUACUCAGUAAAGAAAGAAUCCUGUGUCUGACCUAUGUGUCAGAUAGGUUGCUUAGGAAGGUCAACAGUAUGUGUUCUGUGUAACAAAAGGCAUAUUUCAAAACACUAUUAAAAUUUGAACAUUCAAAACUUUAAAGCAUAGUAUUAUUUUAUAUCAAGAUUUUAGGUACAUAGCAUCCCUGUGUGUGUGUGUGUACAUGUGUGUCUGUAUGUGUUAGUUGCUCAGUUGUGUCCAGCUCUUUGUGACCCCAUGGACUGUCCCACCAGGCUCCUGUGUCUGUGGAAUUCUCCAGGCAAGAGUACUGGCAUGGGUUGCCAUUCUCUUCUCCCCGGGGAUUAUCCUGACCUGGGAGUUGAGUCCAGGUCUCUUUCAUUACAGGCAGAUUCUUUAUUAUCUGAGCCAUCAGAGAAGCCCAUAGAGUAUCCUUAGAAAUUCUGCAUAUAUCCUCAUGUUACAUUAGCUUUGGAGCUGAUGUAACAUAUUUUCUAAAGCUCAUUUGGAUCAAUAUUUGGGCACACUAACACAUAAUGUAGGAGUUGGAUGCCACCUGUGUGGGAUAUCUUAGUGCAUUUCACUCACAUUUUAAAUGUAAAGCCAAUGUAACAUCUGUUUUGAAAAGGGUGGUUCUGCUGUUUGCUGUGCAGUGGCCUCACUGCAGUUUCAUAGCCGUCAUUAAAAAAACUGGUUACCUACCUUAAGUGGUAAUCUUUAACCUAGUUCUGAGAAUGGGCCACUAUAACUUCUCAAAAAUUGUAGGUAAACAUUCUGUGAACGUAUACUUGUUUCCGUAGAUAGAAAAAACAGGGGUCCAUUUUGGAAGGGUUGGUGAUGAAAAUGGUUAAGAAGCAUGGGUUACAGGUUAAAUUAAAUAACGUUAAUUAUUUGAUUUAAUUUAACAUUAGUUAUUUGAUUUAACUCCUGCAAUGCCUACAGCAUUUGGCCAUAUGAAUAUUCAAGUUUUUAUUCAUUACCAGAAAGCAAUGUGAAUGAAUAUAUUUGGUGUUUGCAAUGAAAAUUCAGUAUUUUUAUAAUUCUAAUAAAUGUUCCUUCUUGUUGAGCAGAUGGGAAUGACACCGUGACAGAGUCUUCAGAUCCCCUUUGGCGUAGCUAUCAAGCUGGGCUGGUACAAGGUCCAUGGAUGAGCACCGACAAGGGAGUCUCCACUGGAAUCUCUGUUGCUGUCUUAGUAGUAUUGCUAAUAUUUGUGGUAUUCUAGAUUAACAAAAGUAAGUCACCUCAAGACUAUGCCCACAGGAGUAUUCUUGAGCCAAACUAUCUGUAGCCCUACAUUCCAUAUGAUUUUGGUUUCUCAUAACUUUCUUUGUUCUUACUUUGUUCUUUUUUAUUUUUAUUUAUCUUAAAAUUAUCUUCCCAGUGAAGAGAAACAUGAUACUUAAGUUCUCCAUGGGAGAAAUUAAAUAUGGAGAAUUAAGCAUUGGUUAGGUAGAGCUGGGAUUUGGAUAUCAACAAACCAGUGUAAUAUACAAGGUUUGUUCACUCCUCCUUUUCCCCUUUCUCCAAUAACCAAUUUUUGUUCCUAUAGGGGAUGAAAUUGCUGAGAGUUUUACAACACCCACUUAACAGAGGAACCAAAUGAGCCAUUGGGAGGAUACAUGAUUUCAGGGCUAAGAGGAGAACAAAGGGUUUCACAAGGCAGCCACCCAGGGCCUCCUGGUGUCCUUCCACCAGUGUGUGUGUGUGUGUGUGUGUGUGUGUGUGUGUGUGUGUGUAAAACCUGUCAUCUAUAGGAGAAACACAAUCUCCCAUUUUUUUACAGUGAAACAUGAUUGUAUUAAAGUAAGCUAGGGCAUGUGAGUGAAUGCAUUAACCCUAAUAAUCAUAAGAUACUUUCCACUAAGGGGUUUAUUUGGCUUCUAGAGAUUCAAGAAAAGUUAUCUGGAGUUAUCAAGGAAGAGCCCAGAUUGAUUUGUUUCCCCUUCAUUUUAAAAAUAUUCUUUCCUCUUAAUUAAUUUUUUCAGUGUCUGAUAUCUGUACCUAUUUUUCUCAUAUUAAGGUAAUAACAGUAAUAAUAUACUUAUUGGGGAAAAAAAUCUCAUGAACUCUUUAGCUUAUAUGUUUAAUUUUCUCUUCAUUUCUUAUCUAGUUUAGAAUAUCUUUGCCUGGGUAACAAGGUGGAGCCACUAUGUGUGAUUCCCUUGAAGGAGUCUCAUAUUGGAGCUUUGAAACAGGCAGCUCUGAAGCCUAUCCAAGCAGAAGAUAAUGCCUACAUUGUUGAUGACUCUCAUUAAGUCGUGGGCCCAGAUUCUAAGGCAUUAUGUAGAAGAUAGUGCCAAGUUAUCACUAUGUCAGAAUCCUUCAAGCAGCAGGACAAAUUUUUGGUCAGUUUCUGAUGACAUUCCACAGAGUCAAGAACAUUGGGUAGAGUGAGUCUAGAUCAUCUGCGCACAAUCAACCUCUGUCACACAGUCCUAAUUUUUUAUAUUAAAACUGAGUCAAUCAUUCUGGCCAUUGCAGAAAUCUAUCCAAAACAUGAAAGGUACACUUUAGAAUUGUACAUUCUCUUUAGACUCUAUGAAUCCUGUUAUCCAUCAAGAAUUCUUACUGGGGAGACAGAAAACACACUUCGACCUUGGUUAAUAAAGCUGUGGAGAGGAGCUGACCGCAACUUAAAAUCAGCAAAUUUAAUUUGGUACUUAAAGGACUUAACAUGGAAGCAUUUCAUGAUUUUUUAAAAAUUGACUCCAAAUGUUAUAUUCCUUAGGACAUCAAGGGUUUCAAAUCAUGGGAGUGUACAGGUUUCUAUAUACCCAUUGGGAAAAUAGAAAUGCAUGUGAUUUUGCCCUUAUAGCCCUGGUUUCUCAGGGCUCUGGAAAUGGAAGGCGUUAAGUGCUUUCCCUGGGACCAGAAUGGUAUUUUAGCAGUUAGAAGAAGGUAGGGUAGUGAGUGGUCCAUGGAGACACCAGGGGAAGAAAAUCCAUUGCCAUGCGAUUUACGCUGUUGCUGCUGCAUUGGUGCUACAGUUCUAGGUGUUCAUGUAGACAAUUGGUAGGCUCUGAUGGAAUUGUUAGAAUGAGACAAGGCAGAAAUAAAUACAAGGAAAGAAAAGAGGGAGGGAGUAACAAAAGAGGCUUUCUGUUUUGGAAAAGCCAGUUUGCAAAUAUAAUAGUCUUUGAUCAUGUUACCACCAAAAGGCUAAAUGGUCCUCAAACCACUUCAAUUCUUAAAAUUACAUUGGAAAGAUAAAGAGUCUUUUCCGUAUAUAAUCAAUUCCUGUGUUAUAUCUUUUUCAUGACUCAAUUAAAUUUUUGUUUUUUCCAGAAGAUUUAGUCAAAGACAAAAAGUAAAGCUGGUUUUAGUCACUUUGAAGUAUUUUUGCAUGAACAGCUAAGAAGGCUGGAAAUUAAUUUCACUCUGCGUAAACCCUGAAAUAACUCAUUCUUGAGUUUUUUGUUUUUGUUUUGGUGGGGGGAAGGGUAGUGGUGUUCAGAGCUGCUCACACCAAAGUGGUCGAUGAGGGCUGGAUGGUUGUUUUUAAAGGCACCAUUUUUUAAUCUUCUGCAGAGCUAUAGAAAAUUAAUAGGACCUCUGAAUAAAGGUUGUGUGGGCAAUGAAGAGGUGGUGCUAGUGGUAAAGAACUUAUCUGCCAAUGCAGAAGUCAUAAGAGAUGUGGGUUCAAUCCCUGGGUUGGGAACAUGCUCUGGAGGAAGGCAUGGCAAUCAACUCCAGUAUUCUUGCCUGGAGAAUCCCAUGGACAGAGGAGCCUGGCGGGCUAGAGUCCAUAGGGUUGUGAAGAGUUAGACAUGACUGAAGUAACUUAACAACAUGUGUGCAUGGGCAAUGAAGAUGGCUAAACAUUGCAUACUAGUUUUCGUAAAUGAA